AUUGAACGCUGGCGGCAGGCCUAACACAUGCAAGUCGAGCGAGCGGCGGACGGGUGAGUAAUGUAUGGGGACUGCCCGAUCGAGGGGGAUAACUACUGGAAACGGUGGCUAAUACCGCAUACUAUCGGAUAACCCAUAUGGGAUUAGCUAGUAGGUGGGGUAAAGGCUCACCUAGGCGACGAGCUCUAGCUGGUCUGAGAGGAUGAUCAGCCACACGGGGACUAAGACACGGCCCAGACUCCUACGGAGGCAGAGGUGGGGAAUAUUGCACAAUGGGCGAAGGCCUGAUGAAGCCAUGCCGCGUGGAUGAAGAAGGCUUUAGGGUUGUAAAGUACUUUCAGCGGGGAGGCGUUACCCGCAGAAGAAGCACCGGCUAACUCCGUGCCAGCAGCCGCGGUAAUUC
rnacentral:rRNA from 1 species